rnacentral:misc_RNA from 1 species
GAUGAAGAACGCAGCGAAAUGCGAUAAGUAAUGUGAAUUGCAGAAUUCAGUGAAUCAUCGAAUCUUUGAACGCACAUUGCGCCCGCUAGUAUUCUGGCGGGCAUGCCUGUCCGAGCGUCAUUUCAACCCUCAAGCCCGGCUUGUGUGAUGGGUGCCGUCCCCUACGGGACGCGCCCCGAAGGCAAUGGCGGCGUCGCGGUUAUCCGAUCAGCCAAAGUGUAUGGGGCUUUGUCACUCACUUUACGGCCCGGACCGGCGCCAGUCCGAAUCAAUCAAUUUUUAUAAGUUGACCUCGGAUCAGGUAGGGAUACCCGCUGAACUUAAGCAUAUCAAUAAGCGGAGGA